CCAGGCUAGGAGUCACAUCGGAGCUGCAGCUGCUGGCCUAUGUCACAGCCACAAGCAACAUGGGAUCCAAGCCACACCUGUGACCAGUACCACAGCUCACAGCAACACCAAAUCCUUAACCCACAGAGCGAGGCCAGAGAUCGAACCCACAUCCUCAUACUAGUUGGGUUCAUAACCCACUCAGCCAUGAAGAUUCGUAAUUAUACCUAUCUCUCAGGGCAUAAUGACUUAAUUAAUAUACCCUUCAUGAGACUUUGCACUGUGGGAAGCACACAGCUGCAUUUGCUGAUGGAAAUUAAGGUGUCGUGAAGUGCAGACACAUGAGUGUUUUGAUUGUGUGUGUGUUUUAAAUGUUUAAUAUAGAUUUUUUUUUCUCCCUUUUGGUUUAAUUUCUGCACAGAAAUCGGCUCCUCCCUUUCAUCAGCCUGUGGAUGAUAAAUGCGGAGGAGGACAAAAGCAUGUAAAGUUGAAGCUACUAAAGUUGCUGAUGACAAAAAUCAAUCAUAGCUGGAUAUUUCUGGCCCAAGGCUAUUUCAAAACAGGCAUUUUACUAUAGCUUUUUUUUUUUUUCUAUUUUUCCCAAUUAUUAACCUAAGAGGAUUUUAAAAUGGUUUAAGGGUAGGUGUUUUGUUUUCAGUCUCCUCACCUGCAUGGAUUCUUAGGGGCCACAUAUUUCCCUUUUUUUAGGUUUCCUAGAUCCCAUGUGAAUUUACCCUCCACCUUUUUCAAAAAAAGUCACUGUAUCGCGUGGCACUGCUAAAUGUCUUUCGCUUAUUAGAAGUGGGAACUAGAGUUCACACUGGCAGAGUGGCUUAAGAAUCUCACUGCAGCUGCUUGGGUCACUGCAGAGGUACAGAUUCAAUCCCUGGCCCGGCACAGUGGGUUAAGGAUCUGAUGUUGCUGCAGCUAUGGUAUAGGUCGAAGCUGUGACUUGGAUUCAACCCCUGGCCCUGAAACUUACAUAUGCUGUGGGUGAGCCAUUUGAAUCUCAAUAGACACUUGUGUCAUUUCUGAUGGAGGGAAGUUGAGGCCAAGGCAGCCAUUGAACAUGGACCAGAUUGUCUAGGUGUCUCUCCCCAACUCCACCAGCCAUCUCUUGCUCAUACACUCUUUUUCUCUCUUUUACAUGGAAACUUUUGGAAAGAGGAGACCAUAUAUGUGUGACAGUGAUUUUACCUAUUAAAUUUAUGUGCUGAGAACUUGGGUGACAAGAAACUGGGAAAAGUCCAAUCUAGUAAUUUGAUAAAACUGAAAGAACAGUGGUCAAAUAAAAGAGCAGUUUAAACCAAAUGUUGAGUCAAGAGAAAUUUCAAAAGACAGUGGAGGAAUAAGUUCAAUAUAGAAUUGUGUGGUCUUGUGGCUGAUGGUGGUGGUAGAAUUUCAUUUUAUUUCAUUUUAUGGUAAAAAAGUUCACACAGUUCAGUUACCUCACAUUCAUUUUUUUUUCGGUGAGACUAAACUGAGGAAGCAUAGAACAAAACAAAUGAGCUGCUUCCAACCCAGAAUCAUGAGAAAAAUUGAGACAGAAUUUUUAGUGGUUUAAGUAAUUUCAUGUCAAAAAUCCAUAGAAAUUAUAUUCAAAAGUCCAAAACAAUAAUGUAGAUUAUAAUGAGAUUUUCUGAAAACAUUUUGAGCCUGCAGAGGGGCUCCAAACAUCUGAAUAUGCAUUCCCAAGGUCAUAAAAGCUACAAAGGAAUAAAUGUAGGUUGUUGGAAUUACCAAGGGGCAGAUUUGACAUUGAGAGACAACACACACUCAGGAGUCAGGAUGCUGGUGCUGGAAUCUGGAUUCUGCCUGUUACUACUGUGUGAAUGUGCUGCAGUGAACUGUGAACUCCCUCUUGGCACAAAGAACUUGCCUGAACACUUUGCUAAGACACUUGGUCAAACAUUACUCUGGCUUCUACCUGCCCAAGACUGUGUCCCUAAAGGUGACCCCAGCCCCUGUCCUGAAGUGUUUGCUGGAGCAAAUGCAAUGCUGCCUAACAACAAAACAUACUUUGUCCAACUCCACAUUGCCAAACUAUUUUCAGUAAUUUUCCACUCAUCUCCCUUCUGUAAUUUUCCGUUUUCCCAAAGAUGCCUUUGAGGUUCACCUUUGGUCUGAGUUAGAGCUCAGUUUAUAUUGGAGUCUCUUCCUUACUACAGUAGUCUAAAUAAAAUCUGUCUUGCUACCCUUAACAAGCAUCUAGUGCUGUUUCUUUUGACAGCAUUCUUUAUGCUUCAGUUUCCUACCUCUAAAAUGGUGGUAUUUAUAAUACUUUCCUCUCUAUGUUGUCAUAAGGAUUAGUGAGUACACAUUUUUUAAAUGCUAUAUAAAUGUUCAUUAAAAUAAUAAAUUCUAGCUAACCAUUUAAAUGCAGGAAUUUGCUAUAACUUGUCCAUCAUGAUUCCACAUUAGUUUUCUUGAUCAUCUGGUCCCCAAUCUAAUCCAAGGUCACAGUCCAAUGUCAGUAUGUCAAACCUUCUUCUCCAUUACUCACUCUCCCUCCCACCUGUGAUGCUCAUAUCUGCACCUUCUCUGACAACAGGAACAUCAUGAAAUCUUGAUAAGAUUGCUCAGUGAACAUUUCUUUACGAAACCUCUCAUCAUUUUUUCUUUGGUCCCAAGUAUUGUCAUCAUCUUUUAUAACACUUAGCCCAGUAUGUGUGCACUCUUAGAUGUCUUGGUAUUUCAAGAACACUUAAAAUUUUGCUUUUCAGUUUACAGUGUGUUUUUAUAUACACUGUCUUAGGACUCAUUACAAUACUAUAAUAAACAUUUUUAUUAUUUUACUAAUAAAAUACAUAAAGAAACAAAAUUUUAAAUAGUAAAUUGAAUGAGUUCACUUAGUUUGCAAAUAUGGAGGCCAGAACUUUGCCAGAGAGUCUUUUCUGGGUAGAAAUCUGGCUUCACUACUUAUUGGAGGAGUGUUCUUAGGCCAAUUAAUUAUUCAGAACCUUCGUAAAAUGGGAUCAUAAUAUGCUUUUCAGCAGUUGCUGUGGUACUUCAAAACCAUGAUAUAUACAUAAUAGCUUGGAAGUGUAUGUUUAAUAGAAAACAAAUGGCUAUAGACUGAAUGUUGAUAUCCCCCAAGGUCAAAUGAUGAAACCUAACCUUCAAUGUGUGAUUAUUGGAGGUGGGGCUCUUGGAAGUUGAUUAAGUCAUGAUGGAUGGAAGAGUCCUCAUGAAUGGGACUAGUGCCUUUAAAAAAGAUGUUAGAGAUACCUCAGAAAACUAAAUCUAGAACUGCCAUAGGAUCUAGUAAUCCCACUCUUGGGCAUAUAUCUGGACAAAAUUUUCAUUGAAAAAGAUACAUGCACCAUUUGUUCAUUGCAUUGCUAUUCAAAAUAGCUAAGGAAACAAUCUUAAUGUUCAUUGACAGAUGAGUGGAUUAAGAUGUCAUACAUAUACAUAAUGGAAUACUAUUCAGCCAUAAAAAGAACAAAAUAAUGCCAUUUGCAGCAACAUGGAUGGAACUAGGGGCUCUUACACUAAGUGAUGGAAGUUAAAAAGAGAAAGACAAAUACCAUAUGAUAUCACUUAUAUCUGGAAUCUAAUAUAUGGCACAAAUUAACCUAUAUGCAGAAAAGAAACAAACUCAUGAACAUGGAGAACAGACUUGUGGAUGCCAAAGGGGAGGGGAAGGGAGUGGAUGGACUGGGAGUUUGGGGUUAGUAGAUGCAAACUAUAGCAUUUGCAGUGGCUAAGCAGUGUACAUCACAGGGAACUAUAUCUAAUCACUUGUGAUGGAACAUGAUGGAAGAUAAUGUGAGAAAAAGAAUGUAUAUAUAUAACUGGAUCACUCUUCUGUACAGCAGAAGUUGACAGAACAUUUUAAAUCAACUAUAAUAAAAAUAAUAAAAAAGAAAAUAUUAAAAAAAAAGAUGUCAAAGAAGUCUGCUUUGCCCCUUCCACCUUCCACCACAUCUGGACACAGCAAAAAGAUAGCUGUCUAAAUCUAAACUCAGUUUCUGAAAUUUUGGAAUACCAAUGCUCUCAAAACUUGUUACUAGAUAAAUAGAUGAUACCUCUUGAUAAUUCAUGUAAUUUGCAAAAAGACUGUUGUUCUUCCCUUUGGAAAAACCAAUUCUCUGUAUUUUUCAGAUGUCAUAUAUCUUUGUGCAACUUCUGUUCAGAUAUAUCUCAAAUAAUAUAAAAAGUUAAACAGACUUUUGUUCAGUCUAGUACAAUCAUAAUGAGUAUUGGUGCCAAAUGGAAAAUAUGUAUUUAAUCAGAAUAUUGACUUUAUACUGAUAGACUCAAUAUCUUUAUAGCCAACAAAUAUAAAGUGAGUGUUAGAAGAUAUAGAGGGAACCUAUUUUGAUGUAUUAAAGAGGCAGGGUAACGCAGUGUAAGAAGCAAAGGCUUUACACUUAGACCUUAAUUAGAUGAUUCUUCCAAUUACUAUUGGAAUGGACUUGAGACUGUCUCUUUGCCAUAGCCUCAGUAUCUCCAUCUAAAUACUCAAGGUUCUGAUAGACAUAUCACAGGACCUUUCUGAAAAUUAAAUUAGGUAACACAGUUAUUAUAUAUAAUACCCUCCACAUGGUAUUAAAUUAUUAUAUACUAGCCAUAUGCUCAUAUGCAUAAAAUAUGAAAAUUAUUCAAAGCACUAACUGAUAACUAUUAAGAGUCCAGCUUAUAAUACAUGGAAGUCUUUCCUAAAGCAUUUUAUAACAUAUUUGAAAAUAUGAGACUACAUACUUAAAUAAUUCUUUUUCUUCUCUUUUUUUUUUCUUAUUAGGGACACACUAGCAGCAUACGAAAGUUUCCAGGCUAGGGGUCAGAUGAAAGCUACAGCUGCCAGCCUACACCACAGCCACAGCAAUGCAGGAUCUGAGCUGCGUCUGUGACCUACACCACAGAUCACAGCAACGCUGUAUCCUCAACCCAUUGAGCAAGGCCAGGGAUCGAACCCACAUCCUCAUAGUCAUAUUUGUUUCUGCUGUGCCACAAUGGGAACUCCCUAAAAUAAUAUUUCUUAUUUUACGAUUUAUAUAAGCAGAGUUCCCUUGUGGUUCAAUGGUUUAAGUAUCUGGUGUUGUCACUCCAGUGGCCCAGGUCACUGCUUUAGUGCAGGUUUGAUCCCUGGCCUGGGAACUUCCACAUGCCAUGGGUGUGGCAAAAAAAAAAAAAAAAAAAAAAAAAA
rnacentral:lncRNA from 1 species